UCUAGAGAUUGACCUACGGUAC
rnacentral:siRNA from 1 species